GAUGAACGCUGGCGGCGUGCCUAAUACAUGCAAGUCGAGCGAACAGACGAGGAGCUUGCUCCUCUGAUGUUAGCGGCGGACGGGUGAGUAACACGUGGAUAACCUACCUAUAAGACUGGGAUAACUUCGGGAAACCGGAGCUAAUACCGGAUAACAUGUUGAACCGCAUGGUUCAACGGUGAAAGACGGUCUUGCUGUCACUUAUAGAUGGAUCCGCGCCGCAUUAGCUAGUUGGUAAGGUAACGGCUUACCAAGGCAACGAUGCGUAGCCGACCUGAGAGGGUGAUCGGCCACACUGGAACUGAGACACGGUCCAGACUCCUACGGGAGGCAGCAGUAGGGAAUCUUCCGCAAUGGGCGAAAGCCUGACGGAGCAACGCCGCGUGAGUGAAGAAGGUCUUCGGAUCGUAAAACUCUGUUAUUAGGGAAGAACAAAUGUGUAAGUAACUAUGCACGUCUUGACGGUACCUAAUCAGAAAGCCACGGCUAACUACGUG
rnacentral:rRNA from 1 species